GGUUUUGCCAUAUAUCAACAUGAAUCUGUCACCCCAUUGAUCGUUAGGGUUGAUUCGGCUGAUCUGGCUGGCUAGGCGGGUGUCCCCUUCCUCCCUCACCGCUCCAUGUGCAUCCCUCCGGAAGCUGUGCACUCGGUCGAAGAGGACGACCAUCCCCCAUAGAGGAGGACCGGUCUUCGGUCCAAGGGUAUAUGAAUAGCUGCGCUCCCGGCUAGAACCUCCAAACAAAUCUAAUUCUCUUUAUCUCUGUCCCACAAAUCUAGUGUAAGCCCUCCUCAUUCAUCUCAUUUACUCCUACAAUUAUCUCCUGAUAUACUCU
rnacentral:snRNA from 1 species